rnacentral:tRNA from 2 species
GCCCCGGUGGCACAGAUGGAUAGCGCGGCCCCCUCCUAAGGGGCAGGUCAGAGGUUCGAAUCCUCUCCGGGGCG